rnacentral:rRNA from 1 species
AAUUACAGCCAUAUCACCCUGCAGCCCAAGACCGGUUACUCCCUGAAGCUAAGCAGGGCUGAGCCUGGCCAGUACCUGGCUGGGAGACCACAUGGAAAAAAUAGGUUGCUGUUGGAA